GCUUAUAUGGUUUAGUAGUAUAACACUUGGUUAUUUAAGCUAAGAAGUAUAGGUUCGAAUCCUAUUAUAAGCG